rnacentral:ncRNA from 19 species
UAUUUGCACAAUGGGUCUAUUGACAAGUCUGUCAGUAGCGAGAAAUACCAUCUGACCUGAUCUGGGUAAUGCCAGCGUAGGAAUGUGUUAAGACAAUCGU